GGUGGCUCAGUGGUAGAGAACUUGCCUUGCAUGCAAGAGGCCCUGGGUUCGAUUCCCCAGCACCA
rnacentral:tRNA from 1 species